rnacentral:miRNA from 1 species
CAAACUACUAAUACUACUGGUAG